AUUGAACGCUGGCGGCAGGCCUAACACAUGCAAGUCGAGCGAGCGGCGGACGGGUGAGUAAUGUCUGGGAAACUGCCUGAUGGAGGGGGAUAACUACUGGAAACGGUAGCUAAUACCCCAUACCAUCAGAUGUGCCCAGAUGGGAUUAGCUAGUAGGUGGGGUAACGGCUCACGUAGGCGACGAUCCCUAGCUGGUCUGAGAGGAUGAACAGCCACACUGGAACUGAGAAACGGGACAGACUCCUACGGGAGGCAGCAGGGGGGAAUAUUGCACAAGGGGCGCAAGCCUGAUGCAGCCAGGCCGCGGUGGAAGAAGGCCUUCGGGUUGUAAAGCACUUUCAGAGGGGAGGCGUUACCCGCAGAAGAAGCACCGGCUAACUCCGUGCCAGCAGCCGCGGUAAUAC
rnacentral:rRNA from 1 species